rnacentral:rRNA from 1 species
ACUCCUACGGGAGGCAGCAGUGGGGAAUAUUGCACAAUGGGCGCAAGCCUGAUGCAGCCAUGCCGCGUGUGUGAAGAAGGCCUUCGGGUUGUAAAGCACUUUCAGUUGUGAGGAAGGUGUGUACGUAAUAGCGGCAUCAUUUGACGUUAGCAACAGAAGAAGCACCGGCUAACUCCGUGCCAGCAGCCGCGGUAAUACGGAGGGUGCGAGCGUUAAUCGGAAUU